rnacentral:rRNA from 1 species
CCGAAGCUACGGGUAUCACUUAGGUGAUGCGGUAGAGGAGCGUUCUGUAAGCCUGUGAAGGGGAGUUGAGAAGCUUGCUGGAGGUAUCAGAAGUGCGAAUGCUGACAUGAGUAACGACAAUGGGAGUGAAAAACUCCCACGCCGAAAGACCAAGGNUCCUGCGCAACGUUAAUCGACGCAGGGUUAGUCGGUCCCUAAGGCGAGGCUGAAAAGCGUAGUCGAUGGAAAACAGGUUAAUAUUCCUGUACUUCUGGUUAUUGCGAUGGAGGGACGGAGAAGGCUAGGCCAGCUUGGCGUUGGUUGUCCAAGUUUAAGGUGGUAGGCUGAGAUCUUAGGUAAAUCCGGGAUCUUAAGGCCGAGAGCUGAUGACGAGUUGCC